rnacentral:lncRNA from 1 species
UUGGGUUUAGGAUAUAGAGUUUAGGUUUAUAGUCUAGUUUUUGGGUUUAUGGUAUAUAAUUAUGGUUUAGGGUUUAGGAUUAGGGUUUAGGAUAUAUGGUUUGGGUUUAGGGGUUUGAAUUUGGGUUUAGUUUUUAGGGUAUAGAGUUUAGAAUUUAAAAUUUAGCUGAAAACGUUAGCGUCAUUAAAAUUAGCAUUUUUAGUUUUUGGUGAACCUAAGUUCUGUCCAUAGAUAAACCCUAUCUUGCUUUGAACGGAUUCCGCAUAUUUCAUGCGACUUGGCAAUCCUAUCUUUUUUUUAUUUUUUUUUGUCAACUGGUUUCAUUGAUCUAGCCCAUUGGGCAAUUAUUACAUUUAGUAUCAGAUUUUACAUGGAAGAGAAGCCCACUAAAUAAUCCAUUACAAACCCCAAUUAGAUAAGCAUCCGGAAGUUCUCCACGUGCUUGAGCGAUCCUUCCUAAGACACGCGUCCUACAUGCGUUGAACGGCAAACUCCGGCCGCACUGCAGAUUGUCACCACCGUAGAUCACCCGACGUCGCCAUAUCCCAAUCAAGCAGAGAUGCUCAAAAUUGGGUAUUCCGAUACCAAAUGCAAAACCCUCCACCUUAACCGUGGAUAACUGAGAAAAGUAACCUUGAUUCACCAUAAUUUUCACCAUAAUUAAGUCUAGGGAAGCUUAAAUCAAGUAGAAGAAAAUCCUUUGCCAGACCGCUGAAGAAUAGCGCCAGUUCUUUUGAAUUUUCUUCUUUCAUGAUUUGAAAAAUCCAUUAACUCCUCCCUCUUUCUGUCAGAGUUGCUUCGCUUUGCACUUAUGGCUGAACUAUUUGCGAAGACUGAUUUUCCUAGCAAGAACUCAGAGUGAACGUUGAAAAAAGAACUAAACCCACCAUCCAUCGGAAUAAAAUUGAGAACGAAGUGGAAGGCAAUAUACAAAAACUUUAUUUAGUUUAAACCCAAAUCAGAAUAAGAUAUAGAGUGAAAAGCAGUUCUGAUUUGAGUAAAAACAUAACACACCACAAAAGAUAGCCUAACGAAGAUUUAUCGCAACACAAGACAGAGAAUCGAUCCGUAGAUCAAAAGUAUAAACAGAUAAAAACAAAAGGAAAACAUAUGGUAACAGGCGGCUGAAGAGCCACCGGCCACCGACAGACAACUUUGAUGAAGCGGCUCUUGUAGAGAGAAGUUAGAGCAAAUAAAUAGAGAAAAAAGUUACUUGGCAAUCCUAUCUUUCCAAUUUGUUUCUGUC